rnacentral:rRNA from 1 species
UUGGAUUUCUGUUUUGAAGAAUGGGUCGUGCCCAAACGGGUUCUGNACUUUUUUCUUCGNAACAUCCUCGNAGUUANCGUGUCUGCCAUUCACUUGGUGGGCUCGGGACCUUCGUCAUUUACUGNGAGCAAAAUANAGUGNUCAAAGCNGNCUUAGGCCAUGAAUAUAUUAGCAUGGAAUAAUAAGAUNGGACCUUGGUCUAUUUUGNUGGUUUACAUUCCAAGGUAAUGAUUAAUAGGGAUAGUUGGGGGUAUUCGUAUUCAAUUGUCAGAGGNGAAAUUCUUGGAUUUAUGAAAGACGAACUACUGCGAAAGCAUUUACCAAAGAUGUUNUCAUUAAUCACAGAACGAAAGUUAGG